UACGGAGGGUGCAAGCGUUAUCCGGAUUCACUGGGUUUAAAGGGAGCGUAGGAGGGCAGGUAAGUCAGUGGUGAAAUCUUCGAGCUUAACUCGGAAACUGCCGUUGAUACUAUCUGUCUUGAAUACCGUGGAGAUGAGCGGAAUAUGUCAUGUAGCGGUGAAAUGCUUAGAUAUGACAUAGAACACCAAUUGCGAAGGCAGCUCACUACCCAGAUAUUGACACUGAGGCACGAAAGCGUGGGGAUCAAACAGG
rnacentral:rRNA from 1 species